AUUGAACGCUGGCGGCAUGCCUUACACAUGCAAGUCGAACGGCAGCGGGGGAGAAGCUUGCUUUUCCUGCCGGCGAGUGGCGAACGGGUGAGUAAUACAUCGGAACGUGCCCUGUAGUGGGGGAUAACUAGUCGAAAGAUUAGCUAAUACCGCAUACGACCUGAGGGUGAAAGUGGGGGACCGCAAGGCCUCAUGCUAUAGGAGCGGCCGAUGUCUGAUUAGCUAGUUGGUGGGGUAAAGGCCUACCAAGGCGACGAUCAGUAGCUGGUCUGGGAGGACGAUCAGCCACACUGGGACUGAGACACGGCCCAGAGUCCUACGGGCGGCAGCAGUGGGGAAUUUUGGACAAUGGGCGAAAGCCUGAGCCAGCAAUGCCGCGUGUGUGAAGAAGGCCUUCGGGUUGUAAAGCACUUUUGUCCGGAAAGAAAUGGCUCUGGUUAAUACCUGGGGUCGAUGACGGUACCGGAAGAAUAAGGACCGGCUAACUACGUGCCAGCAGCCGCGGUAA
rnacentral:rRNA from 1 species